GGUGCUGCUGCUGGAGGGCUUCCCGUUGCCUGUGCCUGGAUGUUAUCCUGGAUGAGGGCAAGUCCCAGAAGGAACCCAGAUGUGAGCUGUUAGCAGCCGAAACUGCCAGCAGCUGGGAUGACAGUUGGUGCUGAUAAACAUGCGUUUUCUCCUGACCUGGGCUCACGCUUAUGACCUGGCCUUUCUGACUGGCCGGCUCCUUCAGGACUCCACGGUGAAAUCAGCACGAGUCAGCUCCAGGGCGCCCACUGGGCUGGACACAGCAGCAUUAGGGCUGUAGGCAGGUAAUGCCCAGUACAGGGCGAAUGCAGGGAUAUGGCACCUGCCUCUGUCUUGCAGC
rnacentral:lncRNA from 1 species